GCACCUCUAGCUCAAUUGGAUAGAGCAUCUGACUACGGAUCAGAAGGUUGCAGGUUCGACUCCUGCGAGGUGCGCCA
rnacentral:tRNA from 1 species